UGGGGAAUAUUGCACAAUGGAGGGAACUCUGAUGCAGCGACGCCGCGUGAACGAAGAAGGCUUUCGAGUCGUAAAGUUCUUUUAUAUGGGAAGAUAAUGACGGUACCAUAAGAAAAAGCCCCGGCUAACUACGUGCCAGCAGCCGCGGUAAUACGUAGGUGGCUAGCGUUGUCCGGAAUCACUGGGCGUAAAGGGUUCGCAGGCGGAAAUGCAAGUCAGGUGUAAAAGGCAGUAGCUUAACUACUGUAAGCAUUUGAAACUGCAUAUCUUGAGAAGAGUAGAGGUAAGUGGAAUUUUUAGUGUAGCGGUGAAAUGCGUAGAUAUUAAAAAGAAUACCGGUGGCGAAGGCGACUUACUGGGCUCAUUCUGACGCUGAGGAACGAAAGCGUGGGUAGCAAACAGG
rnacentral:rRNA from 1 species